UUUAAUAAUCAUCACUUCUUGUCACAUAAAGGCUGUGACUCCAGAGUUUGUUGCAGAAGAAGUGUUGUGAAAGAAAUAAUUAAUAUGAUGGGUUUCGAAUGCUGUGCUCCUUGAGAAGGUCGCUCACUCUCUGAGCUGGUCUAUUCAUCUGAGUAAUGGGUCGCUGAGGGGCAAGGCCAAGGAGAAGGAAAGGAACUCCUCUGCAUGUCACUCUCUGACUCCUUAGUCCUUCCUCUCCUUUUUUUCUGAAAUGAGGUCCAUUUCCAAAGCUCUGCAACCUGGGGCCUGUGGAAACUUAAGAUCACUUGUGAGUUCCUAGAUACUACAUGCAGAAUUUGGCAUCUAUGAGCAUGUAGAAGUGGAUAAUUUUUGACAGUCUUCAAUAUAUUCUUGUUUAUAUAAUAUUCUUAAGUAUAUUCCUAAAAAUAAUUAAGAACCAUAAGCUGUGCUAGGGAAGUGGGCUCAUGGCCUUAUGUUAGUCUACUUGAAUAAAAAGACAGUCAAUGAGGUCAGUUUUCAGGUUUGGGUAUUUUGAUUACCUUUCCCCUUAGUUGUUUUAAAUGAGCAAAGGAGUAAUGGGGUUUUCCACCACAUAACAGAAUAUCUAUGAGUCAUCAGUGUCCUGAGAAGCUAAACGUCCUACUAAGGAUCCUGCAAAGGGAAAACAGAAGAGGAACUUGCACUUUUUGAGAACUUGCUGUGUGCCAUAAGCCUAAGUCCCUAUGUGGGAAGGAUUCUACCCACACAUGACAGAGGAGGAGACUGAAGCAUGAAAAAGAAAUGGCGUUUUGCUGGAGAAAGCAGCAUAGCGGAAUGUAAAGCGGUAAAGCGUGUAUGCUCUGGAGCCACAGACCUAGAUGGUGAAGUCUAGCUCUGGUACUUGACAGAUCCCAUUCUCCAUCAUCUCCACCCUGCUCUGUGACCCAGUCGGCUGCUCUGCUUGAACGACAUCAACAAGCUUCCUGCAUCCUCAUGUCUAGCUGAACUCAACCAGUGGGAAGUACCAGCAGGAGAUCAAAAGAAAGGAGCAAAGUCCACUGUGGGAUGGCUGCUUCUCUUGACCCAUGGUUUCAGCUCCUGACAGGUAGCCACUCCAUGCAGCCCUUCUCUCAUUGGGUUCUGGUGACCAUCCUCUCCUCUUGCCUCUUUGGGUAUAACAGUGGAUAGUGAUACUCUUGAUAAUAAUACUAUUCCUCAUGGUUUUCCUAUACUGUGACCACACUUUUGUAAAGAGUGAUUUAAUAAAUAUGCAGUAACUGUGGUUCUCAAUGUUCUCCCAUAUCUCUUGAAGCAUUUUGGCAUGCUUUGGUUGACUUACAACUGCUGCACCUGCAUCCUGUGCCUGCAAACAUUUUCUGGAACCUUGGAAGUCUCCUUUGCCCACAACUCUAGGAGGCCAGCUGUGCUGGGAAACUAACAUCCUCCACCCAUGAGCAGAUCUCCAACAAUGGCUCUCAGGAGUUGGUGAAUGAAUACCCAGCUCCCUCAUCCUUGGGUGGUAUCAUGCUAAGGCAUGUGUUUUCAACAACUAUGCACAGAGUUUUCCUAGGUAAUAAACUCUAGUCACCCAUUCUCAGUUAUCUAUUCUUGCCUAACAAACCAACCUAAACUUAGACUGACUUAAUACAAUAAACAUUUUAUUUGCUUAUAGUUCUGUGGAUCCGCAAUUUUGGUUGGGUACAGCUGGGUGCUUCUUCUACUGAUCUCAUCUGGGAUUAGUCAUUUGGCUACAUCACUUGGGGGAUCAAGUGGCAGCAGGUUUCUCUAGAGGACCUCAGGUUCCACAUGGUGUCAUCCUCUGGGAGGCUAGUGUGGGCUUCUUCCCAGGGUCAUCUCAGAACAUUUCUAAGAGGACUAGUAAAUAAACAGCAAGACCUCUUGAGGACUAGCCCCGAUAUCACUUCCACUAUGUUCUGUUGAUCAAAGCAAAUCACAAAGCCAGACAAGAUUCAAGGGUUAGGGAAAUAGUCUUGCUCUUCAGAAUUCACAAUCAUUUUCAAUCUACCAUACACACUAGGACAGCUGCCUUUCCUCUCCCAUUAGAGGAUAGCAGUAGGAUAGUUGCCUUUCCUCCCCAAUACAGAGGAAAGCUGUACUUUCCUCUGUCACACCCCCAUUCCCCUACUAGCAACCUCUUCACCUUCCAAAUAAGAAGUUGCACUAAAAUUCUUGUCUCAACGUCUGGGUGAACCUAAACUCUCUUAAAAUUAUUUUAAUUUCAGUGAUUCAUUUGUUUAUUGCUGAUAUAGAAUGGUAUUAGAUAUUAUCAUACAAUUUAGUGCAAGGCUUGAAAAGGGCACAGGGUUUUAGGAAUCCCCAUAUAAUGUUGCCAGUAAGAGGUGAGGGUGUCUCACUGUGAUAAAUAUUACUAGUGCCCAUCCAAAUUUCUGAUGAUUUUUCCCUUCCAUUUGUGCAAGAGAAUUAUGCUUCCCACACCCCUUGAAGUUAAACAUGGCCAUAUGGUUUGCUUUGGCCAAUAAACCAUGGGUGGAUGUGGUACAGUGUACGUAUGCUUGCCUCAAGAAAGAGGGCAUAGGCCGGGUGCGGUGGCUCAUGUCUGUAAUCCCAGCACUUUGGGAGGCCAAGGUGGGUGGAUCACCUGAGGUCAGGAGUUUGAGACCAUCCUGACCAACAUGGAGAAACCCCAUCUCUACUAAAAAUACAAAAUGAGCCAGGCAUGGUGGCGAACGCCUGUAAUUCCAGCUACUUGGGAGGCUGAGGCAGGAGAGUUGCAUGAACCUGGGAGGCAGAGCUUGCAGUGAGCCGAGAUGGCGCCAUUGCACUCCAG
rnacentral:lncRNA from 10 species